AACGAACGCUGGCGGCAGGCCUAACACAUGCAAGUCGAACGCCCUAGCAAUAGGGAGUGGCAGACGGGUGAGUAACGCGUGGGAACGUACCCUUCGGUUCGGAAUAAGCCGGGGAAACCUGGUCUAAUACCGGAUACGUGCGAGAGCAGAAAGAUUUAUCGCCGAAGGAUCGGCCCGCGUCCGAUUAGCUAGUUGGUGAGGUAACGGCUCACCAAGGCGACGAUCGGUAGCUGGUCUGAGAGGAUGAUCAGCCACACUGGGACUGAGACACGGCCCAGACUCCUACGGGAGGCAGCAGUGGGGAAUAUUGGACAAUGGGCGCAAGCCUGAUCCAGCCAUGCCGCGUGAGUGAUGAAGGCCCUAGGGUUGUAAAGCUCUUUCGCCAGGGACGAUAACGACGGUACCUGGAUAAGAAGCCCCGGCUAACUUCGUGCCAGCCGCCGCCGUAAUAC
rnacentral:rRNA from 1 species